rnacentral:rRNA from 1 species
UACGUAGGGGGCAAGCGUUGUCCGGAAUCAUUGGGCGUAAAGAGCGUGUAGGCGGCCCGAUAAGUCCGCUGUGAAAGUCCAGGGCUCAACCCUGGAAUGCCGGUGGAUACUGUCGGGCUCGAAUCCGGAAGAGGUGAGUGGAAUUCCUGGUGUAGCGGUGAAAUGCGCAGAUAUCAGGAGGAAUACCGGUGGCGAAGGCGGCAUCCUGGACCAACACUGACGCUGAGUGAGCGAAAGCCAGGGGAGCAAACGGG